UACGUAGGGGGCAAGCGUUGUCCGGAUUUACUGGGCGUAAAGAGCGUGUAGGCGGCCAAGCAGGUCCGUUGUGAAAACUGGAGGCUUAACCUCCAGACGUCGACGGAAACCGCGUGGCUAGAGUCCGGAAGAGGAGAGUGGAAUUCCUGGUGUAGCGGUGAAAUGCGCAGAUAUCAGGAAGAACACCAAUGGCGAAGGCAGCUCUCUGGGACGGUACUGACGCUGAGACGCGAAAGCGUGGGAGCGAACAGG
rnacentral:rRNA from 1 species